CGGCCCCCGCUCCGAGCCGCGAUGGCGACGGGCUGGCACCGGACAGCCCCCGCCCGGCACGGCCCGCGGGCUCGGCACUGCCCCGACCACCGGGACAGCACCACGGGCUCGGCCCUACCUCGGCCACCGGGACAGCCCCCGGGCUCGGGAAUGCCCCCGGGGCCGGGCAGGAGCUUCCCCGCCACCACCACACUCCUCGGACCCGCUGCUGCCCGGGUCACGUAGUGCCGGAGGUUAAACAGCGGAGGUUAAACAGCGGAGAAGGGCUGUGGGAGAUACCGAAUGUGGAGUUUUGCUACUGUGUCUGCAGACGGAGUGGCAGAGGCAGCGCAUCAAAGCUAACCACGACGUUCUGCAAGCAGGCUGUUCACUCUGAAGCCUACAACGCGUAAUUGAAAUGUGAUUAAUUCCUCUGCUGAUUAACACUGAAUAAACCUCCACCUAAAAUUCUUAUUCAUUGUAGAAGAUAGUGAAAGUCAAAAGAGGCCUUCGCCUAAUUAUCUUCUCUCUUCCAGCAGAUUAUUUUAACUGCCUUAGAAGAGUUCUGUAAGAAGGCCAGAAGAACAUGUGUCAGUGAGAGCUGGAAAUAUUACAUUUUCUUUUAAUGUGCUUCCCAACUACAAGUUUGCCUGCAGUUCUCAUUUGUCUUUUUUUCUUUCUACUCAUUUCUGUGCAGUCAUAUCUAAAAGCUGUAUUAAGAAGUAACAAAAAUAGUGGUUUACCAAUUUACUAGCAUAUUUCUCAUUACUGGAGGUCAUUCUCCAAAAUCACCAGCCUAACUGGUUGAGAACCAUAAUUUUAGCCUAUUCCCCUCUGCAAAGCCACUAAAAGCUGAAUAGCUAAAUGGCUUUAAGGAGUGGAAAAGAGGGGAGACUGCACAGGCAAAAGGAGAUGGACAAGAGAUGGAACAGCAGUGCCCAGGAGGAAGCCUGAACACAACCUGACCAAAUGCCCCAGUUCAAUGCUUUCUCUUUUUCUGCACCAACUCUCUUUAGAGUUGGUGCAGUUGUGGGUGGCUCAGCCAUCUUAGCCAAGUGACAAUUUGAGUUCUCAGCUGUUCAGUUUCUAACUAGACAUCUAUAAGCCUCAUAAUCCCUACCAAAAUUACUUUAGCCUAAUAUAACACUACUGUACUAUAACAAUUUUAGCUAUAUAUAUGAAGGAAAAAAAGAUGUCCAGCAGGAGUACAAAGAUCCACAUUAGAGAUUUCCAGGGGAGAACACCUGGCAGCUUUCAUCUCCUCUGGAGCAGCACACUCCCUAGAAGCAGGGUGCAUUACAGAGACAACCAUUUUUUUCCCUGAAGAAAUGCAAAAUACUUGCAAUGAGGAAAGAUGGACUUAAACAACUUGGUACAGGAUGCCUCACUUGAAAAUUCACAGGCCAGUUGCUUUUUCAUGAGAAGAGAAUGACACAUGGCCUGUUGUCACUCUAGCUCUGCUACUGGUUUGGUUUUGUCACGGCACUGCAAGAGUAGCAGACACUGUGUAAUGUAUAAGAGCAAGGACAGAACAAAAGACUGACCUGCUUUUCACAAGCUACCUGAUACAAAACAAGAGACAUAGAUAGCAAUACAGGAGCCAAGGGAAACAGGUCAGUACCAGUCUGCAUUUUUUCAACAGCUAAGAAGCUUUUUAAAUAAGCAUACAGUAAAUAAAGUGGCAAAAGAUAGGUUGUCCUGGGCAAAUCGACUUCUUCACCCAAGACUGGACUUGACAAGAUAAAAGGCUUGGGAAAUCAGUAACAGAACGGAAUAAUAGCAAAACCUCCCAAAUUAGCAUUUUUCAAGCCUGUAAAUAUAGCAGGAAAAGGCAAAGCUUUCUGUCCAGAGCUCAUACCAAAGAAAUAAAAACAAAACCAAUCUAACCAACCAAAAAAAAAAAAAUCUAAGGGAGAAAAGGACUCAAGGGUUAUUUCUUGAUUCAUAUAGGAAACCUCCUAAUAACUCCUUCCUAGAAGAGUGGUUUCCUAUACCAUUAUUCAUUCACCUAUGCUGUAUAAAAACAUUUGGAAGCCAUCCAUCAUAGCACUCUUUCCAUCAGCUUGAGAUAGCAGAACAAAAUGCAAAUACAACAUCCUACUUAUAUAUUUAGCAUAGAUGUAUUACAUUCUUACAACAAAGACAUCUGUCUUCUCUGAAGUGAGCUGAAGCCAACCCACUUUUCUGAAAGAGACCUUUUAAGAAGAGUCAAGGGAACAGCAGAUUAGUUAAGACUGGGAAGUGCUUACCUCACAUUUCACAUAAAAACCAGGUUGUUUUUCACUUAGCAUGAGUGGAUCAUUUAAACAAAUAUUUUCUAUUUGUAGAGCUAUGACUCCAGGCAGGAAAGGACUCACAAGAGGAGUUCUCUAGGGAGACCAGGAACAAGGAUAGCUCUGUAGCUGAGAAGGGUGAAAUGGAAGCCUUAAACAUCAAAGCAAGUUAACAGGAAGCUGAAAAAGAAGACAUUUGGAUGUGAACGGGGGAAAAGAAGCCUGUUAAUUUUCUUUGGCAAAUCUGAAAACUGAGGACAAGCAUUUUUCAGGAGUUUAUGCAUUCUAGGCUGGGGUCAAAUCCCAGGUUUGCUCAGCAUUUAUUUCAUCUUGUAGCUUAUCAUCUUGUUUAACUUGCUGGAGAAUUAAAAGGUUUUCCUUCAGUUUGGUGGGGGUUGCACUUCUCUUUCUCUUAGCAGACACCAAAAGCCUGUCAGUAGUUUGCAGAUAGUUGGAUUUUCAGGUGAAUGAAGACUUCCCAGUUGUUACAGGAAACAGUUUUUUUCUUAGCUGAGUGUUUGAAAACAGUCAGCAAACUUCAGGAGAUGCAAAAAUUAAGUCUCAAAAGCAUCUAUAUGUCAUUUCAAGGAUUCUGUUUAUGCAGGGUGAAGUAGAAGUUGUGACAUUCCAGUGAAGUAGAAGUUGUGACAUUCCAGUGAAGUGCAUACCAUUAGAAAAAUUAGCAUGCUUUAUUUUCAGCACAAAGAGUUUUGAAGGUGCAGUGCAAGUCUGGAGGGGAGCAAAAGAAAAGAUGAUACAGGUGACAUAAAAUACCUGAUCCUGAAAGUAUCUGGCUAGCAGCUUGGGAAGUCUCUCCCUUGUUCAUUUUGUGAAAAUUGUUUGUUUUGUCUCUGUCAUCCUUUGCCCCUGCUUCUUUGCCUCUCGUUAUCCACCAGGACUUGUCACUUCUUGCUGCUCACCAGUGUUAACUCAGGUGAAGUGCUUUGUUUGUCUGUGCAAGACAGGAAAUGUAAUUGUUUCUGACUGUCAGGUUCUAAAAUGCUGUAUAGAAGUUUUAAGUAGUUAUUACUAGGAAGAAAAGCCUCUCUUCUCUAUCAUCUGUAAGGACAUUUUUCCUGGUUUUCCUCUGCUGUGUAACCUGAAGGUCACUGUGCACUCUUGCUAAUGUCCAGUGCCAGCUGUGCCCUAAGCACAGACACAUCUCUGCCUCCCAGGGGAGUAUUUUCUGUUCUAAAAGAACUUCACUCACAGGAGAGCUUCUUGUUAACUCUGUUAUCAUCAUAUGAAAGGCUGGUUUGUAUGCCCAUCUCAGUAGUUUUGCUUUUUUAUAGAUCUGUGUAGAUUGUUUUGUUACUUUAGAAACAUGAUAGAAGAAAAAAAAUUACAGUUUGGGUUUUUUUUUAAUCUGGAACAAUGAAACGAGUGAUCAGUGUGGCGAAGGAUGAUAGCAGUAUUUCUUCAAAGCUCAGUCUCCAGUUACUGUGCUUUUGUGCCAGUGACUCAGCAAUAAGUAAUCUGUAAAGUAAUGAAAAGUAAACUCAAUAAAAAGUAAUCAGUGUACA